UUCAUCUUAACAAAUUCUUUUCUUUUAUAAAUUACUUUUUGUUCACAUGAUGAUUUAACAUAAUCCCAUGUCCUCUGAAAUAUAUGAUGAGAUUUACUGUUAUAAAAAAAUCUGAUCCUAUCAAAAAGUUGAUAACAAGAGAUCAUACGACUGCUUUUUUUCUAUUAUUUUUAUAAUUCGUUUUCAUGAUGAUUUUCAGGCAUUUGUCGUAUGGUCUUUCAUAAAAUAACUCCUUAGGCGUUUUGCUUUUUGGUGUUACAAUAAUGUUUGUACCUAUGACGACGUUAUCAAUUUCUGAUUUGCUAGUUUUUUUUUCAAGCUAACUUAUUUCUCCUAAUACAUUCGUUUGUAGAAACUUAUCGUGCUUUCUUUUCUUCGUUGUAGUUAUUUUUCACCUUUUACUUAACAAUUUCCGUUCAAAUGCCUUGGUUUGAUUUUUGUUCUUGUAAACGUUAAGUAGAAUGAAUUGAUUAAUUGAAAAUGGAGUUGCUUGCUUGUCUACUAAAAUGAUGAUGUUGGAAAUGAUAGGUCAGAUGAUUACGAUGGUAUUCAUGACGACAACUAUAUGCAAUUUUCACUGAUUUUAUAAAAGCUAGAAAACACCUUUUUUUCUUCGGUGCACUUUUAACACGAGAAGUAAAUUUGCUUUAUGUACAAGACAGUGCAAAAAAUUAUUAUUGUUAUUC